ensembl:lncRNA PMS2P4 PMS1 homolog 2, mismatch repair system component pseudogene 4
GGGGCGCCUGUGGGAGUCGUGGAGGGAACUUUCCCAGGCCCCGAGGCGGAUCGGGUAUUGAGUCCAUGGAGCGAGCUGAGAGCUAGAGUACAGAACCUGCUAAGGCCAUCAAACCUAUCGAUCGGAAGUCAGUCCAUCAGAUUUGCUCUGGGCCGGUGGUACUGAGUCUAAGCACUGCGGUGAAGGAGUUAGUAGAAAACAGUCUGGAUGCUGGUGCCACCAAUAUUGAUCUAAAGCUUAAGGACUAUGGAGUGGAUCUCAUUGAAGUUUCAGACAAUGGAUGUGGGGUAGAAGAAGAAAACUUUGAAGGCUUAACGAUGUCACCAUUUCUACCUGCCACGCAUCGGCGAAGGUUGGGACUCGACUGGUGUUUGAUCACGAUGGGAAAAUCAUCCAGAAAACCCCCUACCCCCACCCCAGAGGGACCACAGUCAGCGUGAAGCAGUUAUUUUCUACACUACCUGUGCACCAUAAGGAAUUUCAAAGGAAUAUUAAGAAGACGUGCCUGUUUCCCCUUCGCCUUCUGCCGUGAUUGUCAGUUUCCUGAGGCCUCCCCAGCCAUGCUUCCUGUACAGCCUGCAGAACUACAUGACUUCCUAUCAAACCAAGAUGCGCUACAAUCACAGGAGAGCUUCCUUUCCCUUGGGCCUGCAGUUUUGCUGGGCCCGGAAGACAAGUCAAGUUUAUCUCAAGCAGUCCCGCUGACACAGGGUUAAAUGUUUCCAUGUUACCAUGUGACUAAUUCAAACUCAUUCUAAUUCCUGCUGUUGCUGCUUUUGAUCGGUUACAAAUUUUCAAGGCUGUGUUAACAGCACCUCGUGGAAUCCUUUUUAGACUCAACUUGGCUUGAGUUAUUAGUGAAGGUUUCAUCAAUAACUUCUAAUUCAAACAUGCUAACUAAAUGACUCAAACUAGCUUUUCUGGCCUAACGUGGAUACAAUAUCUCAUUAGUGGAAAGCCUGAAAAAUUUCAAUUCAGUAAGAGGGGAUAAUCCAAUUUGUACUCUCUUAAGAAAAUUGCUUCUCAAAAGUCACGGUGGAAUAAUGACCUGGAAUGAAGAAAACAGAAAGAAAGUUGAAGAGGCUCAGAAGGAAAUACUAAUUGAACUGUGAAGGCUUUUAAUUCAAAGCUAUUGUUUGGCAUUCAUUUCUGUAAAUGUAUUAACUAAUAUGCUGAUACCUGACUCAUAAACAGACAAGUACUUGU